rnacentral:pre_miRNA from 7 species
UUCUUGGGGUUCUGGGUGCUCCCAAAUCCCGGACGAGCCCCCAAAUGUAGGACCCCCCCAAUAUGGCGACUCCCACUCUAAUCCAGGGAUAGGGUGCACCCACGAACACGCAAGAAUCC